AUUGAACGCUGGCGGCAGGCUUAACACAUGCAAGUCGAGCGGGGUGAUGGUGCUUGCACUAUCACUUAGCGGCGGACGGGUGAGUAAUGCUUAGGAAUCUGCCUAUUAGUGGGGGACAACAUCUCGAAAGGGAUGCUAAUACCGCAUACGUCCUACGGGAGAAAGCAGGGGAUCACUUGUGACCUUGCGCUAAUAGAUGAGCCGAAGUCGGAUUAGCUAGUUGGUGGGGUAAAGGCCUACCAAGGCCACGAUCUGUAGCGGGUCUGAGAGGACGACCAGCCACACUGGGACUGAGACACGGCCCAGACUCCUACGGGAGGCAGCAGUGGGGAAUUUUGGACAAUGGGGGCAACCCUGAUCCAGCCAUUCCGCGUGUGGGAAGAAGGCCUUCGGGUUGUAAACCACUUUCGGACGGGAAGAAAUCGACGUGACGAAUAAUCGUGUCGGAUGACGGUACCGUAAGAAGAAGCACCGGCUAACUACGUGCCAGCAGCCGCCGUAA
rnacentral:rRNA from 1 species